UGGGUGGCCGCGGCCCGCGAGACUGCGAGCUGCAGGUGGACGUGUACAAGUAUGGGUCUGCAGAGCGAGGAGCCUUCUUUCCCUCUCCUCCAAGAGGCUCCAUGAACCCUCGUGUUUUCUCUUCUCCUUCCUUAGUCUGAGGGACGUCGCUUUCGUAAAUGCACCUCCUGGGCGGUGUGCUUUAUUGUCUUAAGCCAGGGCCCCCGGCUCGCAGGCGCGCACCCAUCUCCCAGCCGCGCCGGCCAGCGGCUGUUUAUUCCUGUGUUGUCUUAGUAAAGUUUCAAACCCAUUAGAAAAUAACUGGUUUGCCUUGCUCGGCGAAGCUUCGGGCCCCUCUAAGGAAGAAAAGGAGGUUUUGGUGCUCAACAGUGGGAGAAAUGUGGGCUGGACCGAGUUUGUGUAAAUGUGGUUUGCUGUUAUUGUUUCCCUCCAGUUUGGUGGGGGUUGAGGGGGGACUCAAAUACUGUUUAAGAAGCAGGAAGAUUCACUUGCAGUAAAGCUCUGUAGCGUGUGCGUUAUACCAUUUCCCCCUUUUCACGAGUUCUUCAGAGCAGCUGCCUUCCCUGGGUGCCCAUGGAGAGGGAUUUAUAAGCUCUGUAGGAGCUCCCGGACAACGGCUUUCCCCAACACCUGGAAAUUAUCAAGCUUGCUGCUUGCUGAAUGAUGCUAACAGCUCUAAUGCUGCAAAUUCAUUUUUAACAACUCACUGGCUUUUAUCUAGGAUUUGUGUGUGUGUGUGUGUGUGUGUGCCUUUCUUUAAGAAAAAUCUACCAAAGCAAUGG
ensembl:lncRNA